rnacentral:rRNA from 1 species
UCUAAGCAGUGAGAUUGAGUGUUAGGCAAAUCCGGCACUCUUAAGAUUGAGCUGUGAUGGGGAGAGGAAAUUGUUUCCUCGAGUCGUUGAUUUCACACUGCCGAGAAAAGCCUCUAGAUAGAUAAUAGGUGCCCGUACCGCAAACCGACACAGGUAGUCAAGAUGAGAAUUCUAAGGUGAGCGAGCGAACUCUCGUUAAGGAACUCGGCAAAAUGACCCCGUAACUUCGGGAGAAGGGGUGCUCUUUAGGGUGCAAGCCCAGAAGAGCCGCAGUGAAUAGGCCCAAGCGACUGUUUAUCAAAAACACAGGUCUCUGCUAAACCGUAAGGUGAUGUAUAGGGGCUGACGCCUGCCCGGUGCUGGAAGGUUAAGAGGAGUGGUUAGCUUCUGCGAAGCUACGAAUCGAAGCCCCAGUAAACGGCGGCCGUAACUAUAACGGUCCUAAGGUAGCGAAAUUCCUUGUCGGGUAAGUUCCGACCCGCACGAAAGGCGUAACGAUUUGGGCACUGUCUCAACGAGAGACUCGGUGAAAUCAUAGUACCUGUGAAGAUGCAGGUUACCCGCGACAGGACGGAAAGACCCCGUGGAGCUUUACUGUAGCCUGAUAUUGAAAUUCGGCACAGCUUGUACAGGAUAGGUAGGAGCCUUUGAAACGUGAGCGCUAGCUUACGUGGAGGCGCUGGUGGGAUACUACCCUAGCUGUGUUGGCUUUCUAACCCGCACCACUUAUCGUGGUGGGAGACAGUGUCAGGCGGGCAGUUUGACUGGGGCGGUCGCCUCCUAAAAGGUAACGGAGGCGCUCAAAGGUUCCCUCAGAAUGGUUGGAAAUCAUUCAUAGAGUGUAAAGGCAUAAGGGAGCUUGACUGCGAGACCUACAAGUCGAGCAGGGUCGAAAGACGGACUUAGUGAUCCGGUGGUUCCGCAUGGAAGGGCCAUCGCUCAACGGAUAAAAGCUACCCCGGGGAUAACAGGCUUAUCUCCCCCAAGAGUUCACAUCGACGGGGAGGUUUGGCACCUCGAUGUCGGCUCAUCGCAUCCUGGGGCUGUAGUCGGUCCCAAGGGUUGGGCUGUUCGCCCAUUAAAGCGGUACGCGAGCUGGGUUCAGAACGUCGUGAGACAGUUCGGUCCCUAUCCGUCGUGGGCGUAGGAAAUUUGAGAGGAGCUGUCCUUAGUACGAGAGGACCGGGAUGGACAUACCUCUGGUGUACCAGUUGUCGUGCCAACGGCAUAGCUGGGUAGCUAUGUAUGGACGGGAUAAGUGCUGAAAGCAUCUAAGCAUGAAGCCCCCCUCAAGAUGAGAUUUCCCAACUUCGGUUAUAAGAUCCCUCAAAGAUGAUGAGGUUAAUAGGUUCGAGGUGGAAGCGUGGUGACACGUGGAGCUGACGAAUACUAAUCGAUCGAAGACUUAAUCAAUUU